UUUCCUGCCCCUACUUCCUACUUUGCUCUUGCCUAAUAGGAAGACUCAGAGAAACGGAAGGAUCAGGCAUCUUAAAAAUGAAAGCAGGCCACAAGGACAGGUUCCCAAGGGUGACAGGCCACAGCUUUGGCCUCCAACAAAAGAUGAGGCAGCCAUCUGAGGAGAAGGUGCUUGGCUGCAGAUCUGUGCCUCAGGCCAUUUUCAUGCAACAGAGGCACAGAGACCCACUGAGUGAGAUAGAUAUCAGUAGGGUUUCUUCCUGAUCUGGAAUUCUAUGGUUGUCCUCUGGGCUUUGUGGCCACAAAUUAAAAUGACCUGAUUACAAUUCUUAAUUCCCGAGAAAGAGCAAAAAAGAUGUAAAUGUGGUCACCACAGGUCUGAUGUCCUUGGGGAACUGAUUAAGCCUGGAGACUGACACACAGACAAUACAGCUGGAAGGAAUGCUAGAUACCAUCUAACUCCUUCAUAUAGGCAUUGAGGCCUAUGAAGGUCAGGUGUAUUCACUGCCUAAGAGCACACACCAUAGAUUUGGGAGCCAGACCUACUUGAUUUGAGACUCGGUUCUGCCAUUUACAAGUUUGUGGCCUUGGGGCUGAGGAGGACCUCAAAGAGAAGAGCUGUGUGGCACAGAAGAGACACAGCUAAAGAGGGAACACAAGCAGGGGGAGCAGGAGAGGGAGAAGCAGGCUUCCCACCGAGCAGGGAGCCCGAUGCGGGGCUCGAUCCCAGGACCCCGGGAUCAUGACCUGAG